rnacentral:rRNA from 1 species
UACGAAGGGGAGCUAGCGUUGUUCGGAAUCACUGGGCGUAAAGCGCACGUAGGCGGAUUUUAAGUCAGGGGUGAAAUCCCGAGGCUCAACCUCGGAACUGCCUUGAUACUGGAGAUCUUGAGUCCGGAAGAGGUAAGUGGAACUGCGAGUGUAGAGGUGAAAUUCGUAGAUAUUCGCAAGAACACCAGUGGCGAAGGCGGCUUACUGGUCCGGAACUGACGCUGAGGUGCGAAAGCGUGGGGAGCAAACAGGG